rnacentral:rRNA from 1 species
CCUACGGGUGGCAGCAGUGAGGAAUAUUGGUCAAUGGGCGGGAGCCUGAACCAGCCAAGUCGCGUGAAGGAAGAAGGUACUUAGUAUUGUAAACUUCUUUUGUCGGGGAACAAAGGCCGAUACGCGUCUCCGGCUGCGUGUACCCGACGAAAAAGCAUCGGCUAACUCCGUGCCAGCAGCCGCGGUAAUACGGAGGAUGCGAGCGUUAUCCGGAUUUAUUGGGUUUAAAGGGUGCGCAGGCGGGAGAUCAAGUCAGCGGUAAAAUGUCGGGGCUCAACCCCGGCCGGCCGUUGAAACUGGUUGUCUAGAGUUGGAGAGAGGUAGGCGGAAUUCGUGGUGUAGUGGUGAAAUGCAUAGAUAUCACGAAGAACUCCGAUUGCGAAGGCAGCAUGCCGGGUCCAGACUGACGCUGAGGCACGAAAGCGUGGGGAUCGAACAGGAUUAGAUACCCUGGUAGUC